CCUGCAGAAGAAGCACCGGCUAACUAUGUGCCAGCAGCCGCGGUAAUACAUAGGGUGCAACGCGUUGUCCGGAUUUAUUGGGCGUAAAGAGUUCGUAGGCGGUUUCUCGCGUCGGAUGUGAAUAACUCAAGGGCUCAAUCCCUGUAGUCCUGCCAUUUCGAAUAUCGAGGGAACAACCUUGAAGAGGAGCGGACAGCGGCGCAGCACCUGGGGAAACUUCCUGGGNUGAUAGACGAGUGAGACAUGCGACAGAAUUAUCAAGGCAAAGAAUCACCCAAAUGGACGAAAGGACAGGAUCGUCUGGGGCCCUGAAUUCCUUGGACGGCUGUAGUGAAUACCGAAAAGACGUUGGGGGGCAGGCAACACAGCAGGCACUUUAGGACUUACACCAUGGGGUCAGAUCGCAACGACUUGUUAUAAACGGAGUAGGCAUGACCUUAGAAUGCUCGGGCGAUGUUCCUUGACCCCGUUUCCGGUCGUCGGUAGGCUGAACGGCCGAUAUAGUUAUCUCCGGCCUGCAGAGAUUUCACAGGUCGGCACAGAAUUAAGAAACGUCAACAGGAUAAUCUGACAGGGGGGACCAGGCUACAAAGGCGGGUGGAAGAUAUAGUCAGAUUUAAUUUCGGAUGACAACGCGGAAAAAAGCCUUAACUUAGGGCUUUGAACAUCCCCGGCGCAAUCCCGGUUGAAAGUACGGAGUUCCCUUCGGGACGCGGAG
rnacentral:rRNA from 1 species